AUGAACGCUGGCGGCGUGCCUAAUACAUGCAAGUCGAGCGAACAGACGAGGAGCUUACUCCUCUGACGUUAGCGGCGGACGGGUGAGUAACACGUGGAUAACCUACCUAUAAGACUGGGAUAACUUCGGGAAACCGGAGCUAAUACCGGAUAACAUGUUGAACCGCAUGGUUCAACAGUGAAAGACGGUCUUGCUGUCACUUAUAGAUGGAUCCGCGUCGCAUUAGCUAGUUGGUAAGGUAACGGCUUACCAAGGCAACGAUGCGUAGCCGACCUGAGAGGGUGAUCGGCCACACUGGAACUGAGACACGGUCCAGACUCCUACGGGAGGCAGCAGUAGGGAAUCUUCCGCAAUGGGCGAAAGCCUGACGGAGCAACGCCGCGUGAGUGAAGAAGGUCUUCGGAUCGCAAAACUCUGUUAUUAGGGAAGAACAAAUGUGUAAGUAACUAUGCACGUCUUGACGGUACCUAAUCAGAAAGCCACGGCUAACUACGUG
rnacentral:rRNA from 1 species